rnacentral:lncRNA from 1 species
UAAGCUCCAAGAAAUGAUGUUCAAAAAACUCAUAAAAGGCAAAAACAACGGCUUAAAUGGUCACAACAACGGAGUAUGUUGUUAUACUAGCAUAAAUCACCAGGGGUCUUUUUUUGAUGCUCUUAAUAAGGAGUAAUAUCGCCGGAUAUUACUACAUAAUUUU